rnacentral:rRNA from 1 species
GAUGAACGCUGGCGGCGUGCCUAACACAUGCAAGUCGAGCGGCAGCGAGGGGUGCUUGCACCCUGUCGGCGAGCGGCGGACGGCUGAGUAACGCGUGGGAACGUGCCCCAAAGUGAGGAAUAACUGCCCGAAAGGGUAGCUAAUACCGCAUAUUAUCUUCGGAUCAAAGGAUUUAUCCGCUUUGGGAGCGGCUCGCGUCGGAUUAGGUAGUUGGUGAGGUAAUGGCUCACCCAGCCGACGAUCCGUAGCUGGUCUGAGAGGAUGACCAGCCAGACUGGAACUGAGACACGGUCCAGACUCCUACGGGAGGCAGCAGUGAGGAAUCUUCCACAAUGGGCGAAAGCCUGAUGGAGCAACGCCGCGUGCAGGACGAAGGCCUUCGGGUUGUAAACUGCUUUUAUAAGUGAGGAAUAUGACGGUAACUUAUGAAUAAGGAUCGGCUAACUACGUG